CCUGCAUCUCCUGCGCUGGCAGGCAAAUCCUUUACCAUCUGAGCCACCAGGGAAACCAUGGUCCAGCAAGAGACAGAUGGCAAACUCAAAACAGGUGGACUCAAAGAUGGUUUUUGCACAGACUGUUUGCGAAGAUGUAGGAGAAAGGAAUCUGGAGGGUGCAUAGUGGACUCAAGUCGGGCUUCAGCAAAGUCAACACGGUUACCCCACGGAGCCGUGCAAUGUGAAGAAGGAGGUCCUUUCCGGCGGUUACCUCGAGGGGCAGAGCCAGGCCUAGGGACACAGGCAGCCUUGUGAGGAGGCAGCCAGGGGCGCAGGUAUGUUGUCUCAGGGUCUCUUCUCCUUCCCCCAUCCAGUUGGGUCUCGUCCUGUAGAAUUUCCAGAGGCCUAAUGCACAAGAGGACGAGUCGCAGAAGCCAGAAACAAAAACCAGGAGAGAAGGUGAGCCAGCCAGCUGAGGCAUCUCGUGGAAGAUCCCAGCACGUGUGGAUUCUCCUGCAACCUGCUUUUUCAGUUAAUACCAUCUUUUUGGGAUUCAUCAAUGCUUAUGCAUUUAAUUGUAGUUCAUUCAGUUUUGCUGUUGUUUUUUAUAUUCCACUGUGUGAAUGGACUAUAGUUAAUUUACCGUUUUCCUGAUGAUGGCAACUUUCCAACAUUUUAAUAUCUUGAUGUUGAUAUAAACAUUCUUGUCAAUGUUGUUUGAUGUCUAUGUACAAAAAUCUCUCCAGAGAAUAUACUUACAGUAGAAUUACAAUAUGAAUUACAAUACUGGGACAAAUGGUCAAAUUUUCCAGAUGACGUCAAAUUGUUCUCAAAGUAGUUUCAUCAAUUAAUACUUCCACCGGCAGUAUAUGAGUUCCUUGGCCACACAAUAUUUUCAAACUUGAAAACUUUUGUUCAUUUGACGGGCAUACAAGAUUUAUCUCAUUGUGGUUUUAAUUUGCAUUUCCCCAAUUACUAAUGUGGUGAACAUAUUUUUAUAUUUUAUUGGUCAUUUAUGUUUCCUCUGCUGUGAAGCAUCUGUUGAAGGUUUUUUUGCCCUCUUUUCCACUGUGUUUUUGCCUUUCUCUUAUUGAUUACAUUUGUAUACUAACUCUGUGUUAUUUCUGACAAUUUCCUUUUUCCAACUUGCAGUUGGUUUAAAAAUGUACAUUUAUGUCCUUUUUAAAGUUAAGUUCCUUGAACUUAUUUACAAAACAGAAAUAGAGUCAUAGAUAUAAGAACAAAUAGUUACCAGAGGGAAAAGAAAGGGUACGGAUAAUUUGGGAGACUGGGAUUUACAUAUACACACAACUACAUAUAAAAUAGAUAACUAACAAGGACCUACUGUAUAGCACAGGGAGCUCUUCUCAAUACCUUGUAAUAGCCUGUGUGGGAAAGGAAUCUAAAAAAGUGGAAAUGUGAUUCACUUUGCUGUACAUCUAACACAACAUUGUGAAUCAACUAUGCUCCAGUAACACUUAAAAAAUAAAUUUCUUAAUUUUUAGUGUAGUUAAUAUUAUCAAGUUUCUUUUUAUACCUUGUGUUUUUUAAAAAGAAAUUGUGCUAAAAUGAAUAAAAUUUACCGUUUUAAAGUGUA